rnacentral:rRNA from 1 species
CCUACGGGGGGCAGCAGUGGGGAAUAUUGCACAAUGGGGGGAACCCUGAUGCAGCGACGCCGCGUGAGUGAUGAAGUAUUUCGGUAUGUAAAGCUCUGUCAGCAGGGAAGAAGAAAGACGGUACCUGACCAAGAAGCCCUGGCUAACUACGUGCCAGCAGCCGCGGCAAUACGUAGGGGGGAAGCGUUAUCCGGAUUUAGUGGGUGAAAGGGGUGCGUAGUCGGCGGGGCAAGUCUGGAGUGAAAGGCAGGGGCCCAACCCCUGGACUGUCCUGGAACCUGACCGGCUGGAGUGCAGGAGAGGUAAGUGGAAUUCCAAGUGUAGCGGUGAAAUGCGUAGAUAUUAGGAGGAACACCAGUGGCGAAGGCGGCUUACUGGACUGUAACUGACGUUGAGGCUCGAAAGCGUGGGGAGCAAACAGGAUUAGAUACCCGGGUAGUC